UUGCUUCGGCAGCACGUAUACUAAAAUUGCAACGACACAGAGAAGAUCAGCAUGGUCCCAUGCAAGGACGACACGCAAAUUCAUGCAGCGUUCCAUAUUUUC